CGCUCGCCGGAAGACCAAGGGUUCCUGUCCAACGUUAAUCGGGGCAGGGUGAGUCGACCCCUAAGGCGAGGCCGAAAGGCGUAGUCGAUGGGAAACGGGUUAAUAUUCCCGUACUUGGUGUUACUGCGAAGGGGGGACGGAGAAGGCUAUGUUGGCCGGGCGACGGUUGUCCCGGUUUAAGCGUGUAGGUGUGUGUUCCAGGUAAAUCCGGUUCACUUUAACACUGAGGCGUGAUGACGAGGCACUACGGUGCUGAAGCAACAAAUGCCCUGCUUCCAGGAAAAGCCUCUAAGCAUCAGGUAACAUCAAAUCGUACCCCAAACCGACACAGGUGGUCAGGUAGAGAAUACCAAGGCGCUUGAGAGAACUCGGGUGAAGGAACUAGGCAAAAUGGUGCCGUAACUUCGGGAGAAGGCACGCUGACAUGUAGGUGAAGUGAUUUACUCAUGGAGCUGAAGUCAGUCGAAGAUACCAGCUGGCUGCAACUGUUUAUUAAAAACACAGCACUGUGCAAACACGAAAGUGGACGUAUACGGUGUGACGCCUGCCCGGUGCCGGAAGGUUAAUUGAUGGGGUCAGCGCAAGCGAAGCUCCUGAUCGAAGCCCCGGUAAACGGCGGCCGUAACUAUAACGGUCCUAAGGUAGCGAAAUUCCUUGUCGGGUAAGUUCCGACCUGCACGAAUGGCGUAAUGAUGGCCAGGCUGUCUCCACCCGAGACUCAGUGAAAUUGAACUCGCUGUGAAGAUGCAGUGUACCCGCGGCAAGACGGAAAGACCCCGUGAACCUUUACUAUAGCUUGACACUGAACAUUGAGCCUUGAUGUGUAGGAUAGGUGGGAGGCUUUGAAGYGUGGACGCCAGUCUGCRUGGAGCCGACCUUGAAAUACCACCCUUUAAUGUUUGAUGUUCUAACGUGGACCCGURAUCCGGGUUGCGGACAGUGUCUGGUGGGUAGUUUGACUGGGGCGGUCUCCUCCUAAAGAGUAACGGAGGAGCACGAAGGUUGGCUAAUCCUGGUCGGACAUCAGGAGGUUAGUGCAAUGGCAUAAGCCAGCUUGACUGCGAGCGUGACGGCGCGAGCAGGUGCGAAAGCAGGUCAUAGUGAUCCGGUGGUUCUGAAUGGAAGGGCCAUCGCUCAACGGAUAAAAGGUACUCCGGGGAUAACAGGCUGAUACCGCCCAAGAGUUCAUAUCGACGGCGGUGUUUGGCACCUCGAUGUCGGCUCAUCACAUCCUGGGGCUGAAGUAGGUCCCAAGGGUAUGGCUGUUCGCCAUUUAAAGUGGUACGCGAGCUGGGUUUAGAACGUCGUGAGACAGUUCGGUCCCUAUCUGCCGUGGGCGCUGGAGAACUGAGGGGGGCUGCUCCUAGUACGAGAGGACCGGAGUGGACGCAUCACUGGUGUUCGGGUUGUCAUGCCAAUGGCACUGCCCGGUAGCUAAAUGCGGAAGAGAUAAGUGCUGAAAGCAUCUAAGCACGAAACUUGCCCCGAGAUGAGUUCUCCCUGAGACUUAGAGUCUCCUGAAGGAACGUUGAAGACGACGACGUUGAUAGGCCGGGUGUGUAAGCGCAGCGAUGCGUUGAGCUAACCGGUACUAAUGAACCGUGAGGCUUAACCUUACAACGCCGAAG
rnacentral:rRNA from 1 species